GAAACAGCGGAGAAAGUAAGGCAAGCAAAGAAACAAAGAGCUUCAGAGUUCCUUUGAUUCUCUCAGAUUGUGACAAUGGAUGGUCAAUCCAAGGUUAAAGUGACGCUUAGGCUGGGUUCUGAAUUAUACACGGUGAAUUCCAAAGCGGUUGGUGCCGUCUCUGAGCAGCUGUCUUCUGUGAAAGAAGAAAGUAUGGGAGUAUUUAAGGAAUUUAUUACCAAACCCAACGUUCCAACUGAUGUUCCCGAUGAAUUGCUGGAAGGCUCUUCUGACGACGAGGAAGAUGAAGUGUCCAGGAAGUCCAAGACCAAGCCCUAAAAUCCCAAGAUAAAUUAGUGCUUUGGAAAUGAGAAGAAAAAAUGUAUGAAAUUUUUCGAGUCUUCAUCUUCUCCACUCUCCUGUGUUAUUUAGGGGCCGUUUAGUUCACGGCAUGCAUAUGGGAUUAUCAGAGAAAUACAAUCUUCAUUCUUCCUUAGACU